rnacentral:rRNA from 1 species
GUGAGGAAUAUUGGUCAAUGGGCGAGAGCCUGAACCAGCCAAGUCGCGUGAAGGAUGAAGGUUUUAUGAAUUGUAAACUUCUUUUGCAGGGGAAUAAAGUACGGUACGUGUACCGUUUUGUAUGUACUCUGCGAAUAAGGAUCGGCUAACUCCGUGCCAGCAGCCGCGGUAAUACGGAGGAUCCAAGCGUUAUCCGGAUUUAUGGGGUUUAAAGGGUGCGCAGGCGGGUUGAUAAGUCAGCGGUGAAAGUUUGCAGCUUAACUGUAAAAUUGCCGUUGAAACUGUCGAUCUUGAGUGCAAAUGAGGUAAGCGGAAUGCGUGGUGUAGCGGUGAAAUGCAUAGAUAUCACGCAGAACUCCGAUUGCGAAGGCAGCUUACUAAGCUACAACUGACACUGAAGCACGAAAGCGUGGGGAUCAAACAGGAUUAGAUACCCGAGUAGUCC